CCAUUUUAUUAUAAAAUGACAAAACACUGUCUGUUAUAUAUAGACGUUUUCAUGUUCAGUAUUUUCAUUAUGUGUCAUAGUGCAUAAUAAAUUGUUAAUCAGGUAUAUCUUAUCGUUUCUGUUGCUUAUAUACUGUAACUCGUAGGCCUAUUGUUUUAUGCAUGUUAACUGUUAAACCCAAUUCCCACUAGGCGAAUUUGUUCGCGCGAAGCAAAAAACAAAUGAUGGCCAUGUGAUUGGUCAGCAAAAAAAUUAGCCGCGAAAAAGUUAGUCAGUUCUUACUUUCUUACUGUUCACGCGAACAAAUUCGCCUAUAUAUAGUGGAAAAUGGGCUUAACCGCCACUGUUAUUUUCAUUUAAUGUCAUGGUUAUUUAUAAGUACUAUUUCUGGCCUAUAUACGAAAUGCAGAAAGCUAGAUUUUAACUUACCUUAUGUGUACAAUCAUACUAAGAAAAUCUUUAUCCGACUGAAGGUCAAGCUUAUAGAAUAAAAGGCGAACGAUACCCUCAGUGAGUCUUGAGUAACAAAUUACAACAAUGAUUGCUCGUUCGACAUUGUGCAUAUUUUAUGAAAAUAAUCGAUGGAAACAUCAAACAAUCGCGUGAGUUUCCGUUAAUUAUUAGUAUGAUUGGAAAACAUUUACUUAUUCUGAACAUUGUGAAAUAUACUUGUUAUAGGUGCAAGGAUGGGCAGGAAUUCGUGGUCCCAGAAUAAAAUUGUAAAUUGCGAACAAAGUACAAACUUAUAGUCAUGACGAUUUGAAACUUUGACUAUAUAGUUCUAUUAAGAAAUGUUAAACGAAAGUCUUCUUUUUAUAAUUGAAAAAAAAUCUAAUUAAACAAGAGAACUAUAUUAUAUACACCCCAUUGACAUGGAGAACAUUUUGUUUUUAAUUAAAAAUGCUAUGCUUGUGUACACACUAUAAUUUGUAAUAAAUUCUCUAAGCAGAUAUGAUUUGUCACAGAAAUAAGUUUUUUUGUUAAAUGGCAUCUCGCCCUCGGGAAUGUUUGAGACAUAUUAUUUUCCUGCUUUAUGCACAAAUUAAACCGCCUGCAUGCAUCAUUUAUGUUAAAAUAAUUAGACAAUAAAUUAAGACCUUUUUUGUGUUGCCUAACAAUAUAUUGUCUAGACAGCUUAAAAGUUGCUUAGAUAAUUUAUUUUUUAUCAGUGAAAAUGAAGCAAUCUGAUUGGCUGAGGAGCCUUUCAGAGCGGGCCGGUUUUUUGCAUCCGGCCCGCUCUGAAACGCAACUGCCCGCUGUGAAAUGCAACUGCCCGCUCUGGUUUUCGCGGCAAAAACUGAGGAGUGAAACAAUUUUUAAACGAAAAAAUCUGCCAAAAACGUUUGGAAAACAUAGCCUAACGAUAGUCAGA
rnacentral:lncRNA from 1 species